rnacentral:rRNA from 1 species
UGGCGGAGCCAUCCUUGGGAUACCACCCUUGUAGUACUGGGACUCUAACCAUAGGCCAUGAAUCUGGUCUUGGGACACUGUCAGGUGGGCAGUUUGACUGGGGCGGUCGCCUCCCAAAAGGUAACGGCGGCGCUCAAAGGUUCUCUCAGUACGGUCGGAAAUCGUACGUAGAGUGUAAAGGCAAAAGAGAGCUUGAUUGCAAGACAUACAGGUCGAGCAAGGAUGAAAAUCGGACUUAGUGAUCCGGUGGUUCUGCGUGGAAGGGCCAUCGCUCAACGGAUAAAAGCUACCCUGGGGAUAACAGGCUUAUCUCCCGCAAGAGUCCACAUCGACGGGGAGGUUUGGCACCUGGAUGUCGGCUCAUCACAUCCUGGGGCUGUAGUAGGUCCCAAGGGUUGGGCUGUUCGCCCAUUAAAGUGGUACGCGAGCUGGGUUCAGAACGUCGUGAGACAGUUCGGUCCCUAUCCGUCGCAGGCGUAGGAAAUUUGAGAAG